UGGAAACAUCUCUUAUCCUUUAUCAAUUAAACAUAGAGUAAAUUACCAUUUCUGACCAUCAAAGAUGUGAGCGCUGACAAAACUAACCAUAACAAAUUAAAACUAACUUAGUAUCUACAAAAGAUUAGAUCUGCUUGACAAAACUAACAAAAACGUUAAUCACAUGUUAAUUUUGUUGAAAAUACCAUUAUUACCCUUCACUCUUUUUCCUUUCCCAUUUCCUUUCUACCUCUUCCUCUUCUGAAAUCCAAAAUUCUCUCCCUCAAUAUCAUAACACAUUAACAUCGACCAAUCUUAACAAUGAAAUUAACCUAUCACUCCUAACAAUGAAAUUAACCUCUUGGUUCUAGAGACAUAGGAAUUUGAAUCCCAAAUUCAUCUUUUAAUUUGCAAAAAUGCAAAAACGUACCAAGACGUAACUGGAAGCUAUGAACCGAAACUAAAACUUCGUUGAACAGUGAACACCCAUCAUCAAAUGCUUCUCAAAGUUCAAAUCUUUGGACUUCAAUUAACAUCUUUGUGCUAAAAACUUCCAUGGUCAGGUUCAGGUUUGUGGAAACAUAAUUUUGAUGAUUGCCACCUAUCAUCUAAAUGCAACUAUUAAUGAGUUAGCUUCCUCACCUCUGGAGAUGUCAGAAGAUGAAAUUGAAGUAAACCCAUUGAGAUUAACCACCGAAGUUAAUAACUUUGGAUCUUCGCCGCUAUCUUCAGCAACAACUCAUAGUAAGGUCUCUUUGGUACUGCACCCAUCAAAACCGACGAUGAGGAAAAUGGAGCCUCACCAUGUUGUUGUUCCAUCAACGGGGCCGUAGCUAUGUUUCGCCUCAUACUCGUCUAAAAAAAAGAAGAUUAUGAUCGAAAACGGGAUACAUUGGCCGGAUCUAGCCAUUAUCGAAUACAUUAUCGGCGGAAACUGGUGAAAUCAUGGGAUAGGAAAACUGAAGCCAAACUAUUCCUCUUCCUCCUACUCCAAUUUCCUCUUUCUCUUGUUCUUCGUUUCUUGUUCUUGUUCUAACUCUUCGUUUUUAGCUUUCUCAUAAUCGUAGAUUCUAAGCUUCACUGCGAAAUUAUUUUGAUUAAGUGUAAUUUCAGAUUUGAAAAUUUUAGGGUUUGUGUAUGUUGGGUGAUGAUGGAUAUUGCGUUGGUGCUGUUAGUGAUGAUAAUGGCAGCGAUGCUUAGAGAAUUUUAGAAGAGGAAGAGAUAGAAGAAAAA